GGGUUGUGAGGUUAAGCGACUAAGCGUACACGGUGGAUGCCCUGGCAGUCAGAGGCGAUGAAGGACGUGCUAAUCUGCGAAAAGCGUCGGUAAGGUGAUAUGAACCGUUAUAACCGGCGAUGUCCGAAUGGGGAAACCCAGUGCAAUUCGUUGCACUAUCGUUAACUGAAUACAUAGGUUAACGAGGCGAACCGGGGGAACUGAAACAUCUAAGUACCCCGAGGAAAAGAAAUCAACCGAGAUUCCCCCAGUAGCGGCGAGCGAACGGGGAGCAGCCCAGAGUCUGAAUCAGCUUGUGUGUUAGUGGAACGGUCUGGAAAGUCCGACGGUACAGGGUGAUAGUCCCGUACACCAAAAUGCACAGGUUGUGAACUCGAAGAGUAGGGCGGGACACGUGGUAUCCUGUCUGAAUAUGGGGGGACCAUCCUCCAAGGCUAAAUACUCCUGACUGACCGAUAGUGAACCAGUACCGUGAGGGAAAGGCGAAAAGAACCCCGGCGAGGGGAGUGAAAAAGAACCUGAAACCGUGUACGUACAAGCAGUGGGAGCACCUUCGGGUGUGACUGCGUACCUUUUGUAUAAUGGGUCAGCGACUUAUAUUCUGUAGCAAGGUUAACCGUAUAGGGGAGCCGCAGGGAAACCGAGUCUUAACUGGGCGUUAAGUUGCAGGGUAUAGACCCGAAACCCGGUGAUCUAGCCAUGGGCAGGUUGAAGGUUGGGUAACACUAACUGGAGGACCGAACCGACUAAUGUUGAAAAAUUAGCGGAUGACUUGUGGCUGGGGGUGAAAGGCCAAUCAAACCGGGAGAUAGCUGGUUCUCCCCGAAAGCUAUUUAGGUAGCGCCUCGUGAAUUCAUCUUCGGGGGUAGAGCACUGUUUCGGCUAGGGGGUCAUCCCGACUUACCAACCCGAUGCAAACUACGAAUACCGAAGAAUGUUAUCACGGGAGACACACGGCGGGUGCUAACGUCCGUCGUGAAGAGGGAAACAACCCAGACCGCCAGCUAAGGUCCCAAAGUCAUGGUUAAGUGGGAAACGAUGUGGGAAGGCACAGACAGCCGUGAUGUUGGCUUAGAAGCAGCCAUCAUUUAAAGAAAGCGUAAUAGCUCACUGGUCGAGUCGGCCUGCGCGGAAGAUGUAACGGGCUAAACCAUGCACCGAAGCUGCGGCAGCGACACUAUGUGUUGUUGGGUAGGGAGCGUUCUGUAAGCCUGCGAAGGUGACCUGUGAGGGUUGCUGGAGGUAUCAGAAGUGCGAAUGCUGACAUAAGUAACGAUAAAGCGGGUGAAAAGCCCGCUCGCCGGAAGACCAAGGGUUCCUGUCCAACGUUAAUCGGGGCAGGGUGAGUCGACCCCUAAGGCGAGGCCGAAAGGCGUAGUCGAUGGGAAACAGGUUAAUAUUCCUGUACUUGGUGUUACUGCGAAGGGGGGACGGAGAAGGCUAUGUUAGCCGGGCGACGGUUGUCCCGGUUUAAGCAUGUAGGCUGGUUAUCCAGGCAAAUCCGGAUAAUCAAGGCUGAGGUGUGAUGACGAGGCACUACGGUGCUGAAGUAACAAAUGCCCUGCUUCCAGGAAAAGCCUCUAAGCAUCAGGUAACAUUAAAUCGUACCCCAAACCGACACAGGUGGUCAGGUAGAGAAUACCAAGGCGCUUGAGAGAACUCGGGUGAAGGAACUAGGCAAAAUGGUGCCGUAACUUCGGGAGAAGGCACGCUGGUGUGUAGGUGAAGUCCCUGCGGAUGGAGCUGAGACCAGUCGAAGAUACCAGCUGGCUGCAACUGUUUAUUAAAAACACAGCACUGUGCAAACACGAAAGUGGACGUAUACGGUGUGACGCCUGCCCGGUGCCGGAAGGUUAAUUGAUGGGGUUAUCCGUAAGGAGAAGCUCUUGAUCGAAGCCCCGGUAAACGGCGGCCGUAACUAUAACGGUCCUAAGGUAGCGAAAUUCCUUGUCGGGUAAGUUCCGACCUGCACGAAUGGCGUAAUGAUGGCGAGGCUGUCUCCACCCGAGACUCAGUGAAAUUGAACUCGCUGUGAAGAUGCAGUGUACCCGCGGCAAGACGGAAAGACCCCGUGAACCUUUACUAUAGCUUGACACUGAACAUUGAGCCUUGAUGUGUAGGAUAGGUGGGAGGCUUUGAAGCGUGGACGCCAGUCUGCGUGGAGCCAACCUUGAAAUACCACCCUUUAAUGUUUGAUGUUCUAACGUUGGCCCCUUACCGGGGUUGCGGACAGUGUCUGGUGGGUAGUUUGACUGGGGCGGUCUCCUCCCAAAGCGUAACGGAGGAGCACGAAGGUUAGCUAAUCCUGGUCGGACAUCAGGAGGUUAGUGCAAUGGCAUAAGCUAGCUUGACUGCGAGCGUGACGGCGCGAGCAGGUGCGAAAGCAGGUCAUAGUGAUCCGGUGGUUCUGAAUGGAAGGGCCAUCGCUCAACGGAUAAAAGGUACUCCGGGGAUAACAGGCUGAUACCGCCCAAGAGUUCAUAUCGACGGCGGUGUUUGGCACCUCGAUGUCGGCUCAUCACAUCCUGGGGCUGAAGUAGGUCCCAAGGGUAUGGCUGUUCGCCAUUUAAAGUGGUACGCGAGCUGGGUUUAGAACGUCGUGAGACAGUUCGGUCCCUAUCUGCCGUGGGCGCUGGAGAAUUGAGGGGCUGCUCCUAGUACGAGAGGACCGGAGUGGACGCAUCACUGGUGUUCGGGUUGUCAUGCCAAUGGCACUGCCCGGUAGCUAAAUGCGGAAGAGAUAAGUGCUGAAAGCAUCUAAGCACGAAACUUGCCCCGAGAUGAGUUCUCCCUGAGACUUUAAGUCUCCUGAAGGAACGUUAAAGACGAUGACGUUGAUAGGCCGGGUGUGUAAGCGCAGCGAUGCGUUGAGCUAACCGGUACUAAUGAACCGUGAGGCUUAACCUUACAACGCCGAAG
rnacentral:rRNA from 1 species